ACUCCUACGGGAGGCAGCAGUGGGGAAUUUUGGACAAUGGGCGCAAGCCUGAUCCAGCAAUGCCGCGUGAGUGAAGAAGGCCUUCGGGUUGUAAAGCUCUUUCAGCUUGAGAAGAAAAGAUUGUGACUAAUACAUUGCAAUCAUGACGGUAUCAACAGACGAGACCGCCAGAAGCACCGGCUAACUACGUGCCAGCAGCCGCGGUAAU
rnacentral:rRNA from 1 species